CACCCUCAACCACUGCCGACGACCGCCGCUGUUCACGCUUAACCAUUGCCGACGACCGUCGAUCACUCCAUGGAUCUUAAUCCGAAUGUUAUUUUAAAUGACAACGACCACAUUGCAAGCAUUGUGCACAAGGAUUUGUACAGAAUUGUUAGACCCCGGUUGCAUGAUCCCAGUUAUUUUCCCGAUCAAAGAGUUAUACCAUAUUUGAAUGUAGCGAGUUUUGGGGUUGCCGCGUACAUUUAGAUAUUUGAGCUACGAGCAGAUUUAAUAUCAGCAUUAGUUGAAAGAUGGCGCCCGAAGACACAUACAUUCCACCUCCCAUGUGGGGAGGUAAGUAUUACGGUGCAAGACGCAGCAGUCCAACUAUGGCUGUCUAUAAAUGGAGAAGCAGUGAUCGGGCUUGGAAAAGUGCCCGAUCCGUGGGGCACUUGCGAGCGGUUACUUGGAAGAGUGACCCCGAGCAACGAGGAUGAACGUUUAACAUAUAUUAAAUUUAAUUGGUUGAAAGAAAACUUCCAGCAUCUUCCGAGCAGUCCAACACAUAUGGACAUUAUCUACGCUGCAAGAGUGUUCAUUUUGCAACUUAUAGGUGGGAUACUUUUGCCGGACGUCAAUCAAAAUAAAGUCUUAAUAAUGUAUAUCUCAUUAUUAGAGGAUCUCGAGCUUGUCGGACGAUUUAGUUGGGGCUCGGCAAAGCCAUCUACGAAAAUAAUGGGCGGUUGCUGCCUCUUACUACUGUCUUGGGCAUUAUACAAAAUGUCAUUUUUGGCAUCAGUGAGCCACCAACCGUAUGUCUAGCCAUUCGUUAAUAGGUAAAUAUGUAGUUAAAUUUUGCCAUCUAUUUUUUUUAUUAUAAUGUGUUGUCUUUAUUUUUUUGCAUGAGAAAAAUAAUUUGAUAAUUUUUUUUAGAUGGGCAACUGUACCGGGAAUUGGGCGAUCCUUCACGGUAUACUGGUGCCGGCCAAUGACAGCCCCAAAUGUAUUUUUUUACAUAAAGGUGAUGCCGACCAUUGGCAGGCCACCACCAAAAUUAUUUUUUUUGAAUUUUUUCGUAUACUGGUACCGGCCAAUGACAGCCCAAAAUGUAAAAAAAAAAUUUACAUAAAGGUGUUGUCGGCCAUUGGCAGGCCACGACCAAUUUUUUUUUUUGAAUUUUUUCGUAUAUUGGUGCCGGCCAAUGACAGCCUAAAAUGUAAAAAAAAAAUUUACAUAAAGGUGGUGCCAGCCAUUGGCAGGCCACCACAAAAUUUUUUUUUGAAUUUUUCGUAUACUGGUGCCAACCAAUGACAGCCCAAAAUGUAAUUUUUUUUUACAUAAAGGUGGUGCCAGCCAUUGGCAGGCCAUCACAAAUUUUUUUUUAAUUUUUUCGUAUACUGGUGCCGGCCAAUGACAACCCAAAAUGUAAUUUUUUUUAUAUAAAGGUGGUGUCGGCCAUUAGCAGGCCACCACCAAAAUUUUUUUUUGAAUUUUUUCGUAUACUGGUGCCGGCCAAUGACAGCUCAAAAUGUACCUUUUUUUACAUAAAUGUGGUGCCGACCAUUGACAGACCAGCACCAAUUUUUUUUU